UGAAGGAUGGGGAGAUAGUGAAAGGCUUCCUCUUAGUGAGCCACAUUCCCCAGUCAGUUUUGAUAGCAAAGUUUUGCUUUUUCAGUUCCUCCUUAUGGACAGGUGCCUGAAAAGUCUUCUUUCCAGAUUUUACCUUAGGUCCUUGGGCAGCCAUUAACCAUGCUUCUUUUCCAUCCCACGAAGUGUUCCAGUUAGUUAAUAGUUUAUAUUUACAACUUGUCUUAGUUAUGGAUUCCAUUGUUGUGAAGAGACACCAUGACCAGCACAAUUCUUAUAAAAACAAAAGAAAAGAAAAGAAAAG
rnacentral:lncRNA from 1 species